rnacentral:rRNA from 1 species
UUGGUGCCUUGGGAGGGGCCCGCGGCCUAUCAGGUAGUUGGUGAGGUAACGGCUCACCAAGCCGACGACGGGUAGGGGGCGUGAGAGCGUGGCCCCCCACACGGGAACUGAGACACGGUCCCGACGCCUACGGGCGGCAGCAGUGAGGAAUCUUGCCCAAUGGGGGAAACCCUGAGGCAGCGACACCGCGUGCGGGAUGAAGGCCUUCGGGUCGUAAACCGCUUUUCUGGGGGACGAGUAAGGACGGUACUCCAGGAAUAAGUCCCGGCUAACUACGUGCCAGCAGCCGCGGUAAAACGUAGGGGGCGAGCGUUAUCCGGAAUCACUGGGCGUAAAGGGCGUCUAGGCGGCAGCCUAAGUCCCGUGUGAAAGCUCCCGGCUCAACUGGGAGAGGGCAUGGGAGACUGGGCAGCUAGAGACUCGGAGGGGGGUGUGGAAUUCCCGGUGGAGUGGUGGAAUGCGUUGAGAUCGGGAGGAACACCAGUAGCGAAGGCGGCACCCUGGCCGAGAUCUGACGCUGAAGCGCGAGAGCGUGGGGAGCGAACGGGAUUAGAUACCCCGGUAGUCCACGCCGUAAACGAUGACAACUAGGUGUUGGGUGUCCAAGGAUGCUCAGUACCGCAGCAAACGCGAUAAG